AGGCGAUUAGCUCAGCGGUAGAGCGCCUGCCUUACAAACAGGCUGUCGCUGGUUCAACCCCAGCAUCGCCAA
rnacentral:tRNA from 3 species